GAACUCACUCUGUAGACCAGGCUGGCCCAGAACUCAGAGAUCUGCCUGCCUCUGCCUCCUGAGAGCUAAGAUUAAAGCCAUGCACCACUGCCCCAGGAUGUUAUUAUUAUUAUUAAUUAUUACUACUUUUUUCUCUGUUUAGGGGUGUUUUUCCUGCACACAUGUCUGUGUCCCAAUUGCAUGCCCUCAGAGGUCAGAAGAGGGUGUCAGACCUCCUAGAACAGACUGUCAUGAACUGCCACGUGGGCACUGGGAAUUGAACUCUGGUUCUCUGGAAUAGAAGCCAAUGCUUCUGACAGCUGAGACAUCCCCCCAGCCCCAUUUGUUUUUAAAAUGGGGUCUUGCUAUGUAACCCUAUGUAGCCUUAAGCUUCUUCCAUUUCUGUCCCACAAAUUCUGGGAUUACAUGUGCGCUACCACUACUGAUUUAAUGUAUAUUUCUAUGUUAGUCAGAAUAGAUAUUCUUAUUUUUGAUCCCUGUUGCCUCACAUCCAUAGAUCCAUGUAAUCUUUUUGAGAGUGGGUUGGACCCUGUGGCUCACUUCUGAUAAAUAGAACGUGGCGGACAUGACAGACAGCAUCACUUUUUUUUAGUAUACGUGAAGCCUAAGUGAACACCGUGCAGCAUCUCUUACAUUAAAUUGUAAUUGCAACCUCUGGCUUGGUUCAUUCUCCUUUCUCCGAGUCCCUGUACUUGGAGAUGAAUGCUUUUGUACUGUGAGCAACUCCACGCAACAUGCGCAGGCUGCGGCGAGGGAUUGCAGGCUGCUGACAGCCAGGCGAGUGAGUUUAGGAGUAGUCUGUCUUCUCCAAUCAAGUCAUGAGAAAACUGUAGCUCCAGGCUAUAGCUUGGCUGUGAUCUCCCAAGAGGCCUUGAGCCAGACAUCUAAUGAAGUGGUUCCCAGAUUCCUGAUUGACAGAAAUUACCAGAUAAUACAUGUUUGACUUUUUUUUUAAGCUCAGAAGAAUUUGUUAUUGAGAAAUGGAGAAGUCAUAGCUGGUUCAGGCCCAUCUCACUGUACCCAAACCCAUCUUGUGGUUAUUUUCCUAGGCCUAGAAUGCAUAAUUAGAAUAUAUACACUCAGCAACUGGCAACAUUCCCACAGUGGUUCCCUGGUGCAUGGAACAAGGGUUAUUGUGAUAAAAACCACAGUGGAUGUUAUAGACCAGCCUCUCUUACAAAAAUGCAUCCUGAAAGCAAUAUUGCAUUCUUGGAGGAAUUGCCUGACUGGUAGCCUUGAAAGACACAGAGGCCAUGAUGCCAAGAGCGACAGUGGACUGUCUUAAACUGAUUCAGGCAGUAACUUCAAUUGUAGGUGUUUACAGAUGUGACUGUGACAAGAUCAUCACACAUCUGGUAUGUAGCUUGUGAUCUGGUACACACACUUUUCUUUUUGCCUAUUAAUGAAGCUCUCAGAAGUUGGCUCUUGCCUAAUGAGGCAGCAAUCUGUCUUCAGUAGGCUAUCUCAGGAGUAAAUAAACUGUCCAUCCCUGCACUAAUGAAGUCCACAGGCCCCUGACUGCCUUUCCCUUCCAUAGGACAUUGCACUGGUCUGACAAUGUGCUUAGUGGACAUGGUAAUCAGUAAGUUCUAGGCACGGUUUAUUUGUGUGUGGAGAGUGGGAGAUGAACUCCACUGAAGAGAAAGUCAUUUAGGGGUCCAAUUAUCUGAGAUAUGAAGAUAUUUCUCUUCUCUGGUGACACUUAUGUUGUUGGAUCAAGGUCUUCCCACAGUGCCUCCUGGGGCUCUUGGGUUUUUGGUGGGGAUAUAUUUCUCAUUUGGAUAUGCUGCUUUGGCUCUGUUGCUUACUGGCUAGAAGGUGCCUAUUUUGAGUAAUUCUCAGAAUGAGCUUCAUCUCUAGAACAGGUAGAGCUGCUGUGCAAACUGUUCUGCUAAUUGGGUCAUGUGACUCAUCACAUACAAUGGUCUUGCAAUUCUAAGGAUACUUUAGGAGCGUUUGGCAGCCUGCUUUGCUGAAUCACAGCACGGAUCCUUGGAAAUUUUUAGUUAAGCGAUGCUACCCUCUGAGAAUAACAGUUCCCCUUCAGGGAACCACCAAUGGCCUGCUACCAGGCCUGAGACUGAACACUUGGCCGGAAGCUGCCACAUUACUGUGUGAAAGCGCUGCCCCGGGUGUAUGGGCAUUGUUGGACCUACCAAGUCUGAAAGUUGCCAGUGGCUUUAUCAAAUCGUGUGAAAGCUUUGAGAUUAGAUAGGGUUGGGUCCUGAAGACCAAGUUGCAUGAGGACUCAGAAGCAGCUUGGGUGUGAACACCCCUCACUCAUGCUACCCUUAGCGUCAGUCUACGACUUCAGCCUAUGACUGAGGAAGAAAAUGCUUGAGGCCUAUUUACAGUCAUCCUUCCUGAUUUGUAGGUGUCACCUGAAAGAGGAUAGCUACAGACCACCUUGGGGAAGGCAACAGGCCAGGCUAGGGAAGGGAAGCUUUCCAUUGGACUAGACUUUGAACAGAGUGUGUGGUAAUUCUUUUUUCCUGAAAUGCUAGAUGGCCAGAUGUUUGGGCCCACAUCAAUUCAUUGCCUAUAGUUAAUGGUUUGAUUAGACAUUCAGGGACUUGACAGGCACACAGUUGGAAAGUUGGUUUGUGAGGAAGCAGUAUUUGCACAGACCUCAGAUUGUGGUGGUAUUUGUGUCUCAUGUAAAAGACUAGCAAAGGGAGGUCCAGACAGUGCACAACAUCGAUAGAUGAAAUGAAGGAUUCUGUGGAAUUGCAGCCAUCCUUUCCCAAUGGGCUAAUGAGCAGAUAGCUGGGGAUGGAGUCAAGGAUGGAGGUUAUAUGGGCCUGGUGCCCAUAUUCCCAGCACUUGGGAUGCUGAGGCAGGAGGUUAGAGAGUUUGAGACCAUCCUGGGCUACAUAUAUAUUUCUCAAAUAUACCAUAUGUACAUAUAUUUGGAUUGACAUUUCAUUUUUUUGCAUUUAUAUAUUGUGUAUGUGUGUCUAUGUGUAUAGGUCAAAAAACAACUUGCAGCAGUUGGCUUUCUACUUCUACCUUAUGGGAUCUGGGGAUUGAGUUUAUGCUGUCAGGCUUGGCAGCAAGGACCUUUACCUUCUGAGCCAAUUUGCUGGCUUAGUUUGAUAAUUUUUAAUAAAUAUGCUCCCUGAUGCUCCCUUUUAAUUUAUAAACGAUGACUCUAUUUGAGGACUGGAGGUAGUUUAGCGAUUGAGAGCACUUACUGUUCUGCCCAAAGACCAGAGUCUGGUUUCCAGCACCCAUGCUGGAUGGUUGACAAAUGCCUGUAACUCCAGCUCCAGGGAAUCUGAUGCCCUCUUCUGGCCACACACAGACACACAUACACACAUGCACUUGUAUAAGUAAACACACAUGUGUAUACCCAAAUACAAAUAUAAUCAAUCUUUAAAGUUUGUUCCUUAUAGCCGGACGGUGGUGGCACAUGCCUUUAAUCCCAGCACUCAGGAGGCAAAAGCAGGCAGAUCUCUAUGAGUUCGAGGCCAGCCUGCUCUACAAGAGCUAGUUCUAGGACAGCCUCCAAAAGCCACAGAGAAACCCUGUCUCGAAAACAAAACACAACAACAAAAUUGUUCGUUGUGAUUAAUAUAUAAUCAGUUAUAAUAGCUCUUUCCGUAUUUCAGGGCAAUGUAGAUAUAAUCCCUGUUGAGUAUAGAGUUAGGUAUAAUAUUUUAUUAUUAUAUAUUCCCUCUAUACUUAAUUUUGUUAGUUUGAUCUAGUUUAGAGUAAAGGUGUGUUAACUUUUAUGAUAAUAGCUCUGAUGAUCCAUCCUCAUAAAAAUUACUGGCAAUAUUUUUGCUUUAUGCAUUUUUGAAAGUGUAUUGUUAGGUGCAUAAAAGUUCACAACUGGUAUAGCUUCUUGGUAGGCUGAACUUUUACGACAAUGAAACCAUUUUAUGCCUUUUAAUUUUAUCAUAUGCCAUAUUAUGAUAAAUGGCCAUUAACUCUGGCCAUUUCUGUUAACGAUUGAGCUAACAUGUAAAAUACUUGGUUUCGUGACCGACAAUACAAGCAACAAAGAGUAGCCUCUGUAGUUAUCUUUGUCAUUGUCAUCAUGAUUGCUCUGGGUGUCAUAGCGUGCAGUUUUUCUGGUGUCUCUGAGAGACAAAGAAACAAAAGAAAAAAAAAAACUGAAGAUCUUCAGGUCACCGAAGUGGGGCAGGGGGCGUAGCUCAGAGACCAAGGGCUCUCUUGGUAUGCUCAGGUCCUGGGUUUGGCCCUCAUACUGAAAGGACAAGCGACCUCUCCGACCUUGCACAAUGUUGCUUAGAUUCUUUUUUUUUUUCAAACAAGGUGAUGGAAACUCCAGGAAAAAGAGGCCCCAGACUUGGACAAAUUGACAGAGAGCCUGCCAAAAGAAGUCUCCUAGGCAGCCAAGAUAAUACAACAGAAACAGAUUUCUUAUUGGAUUUUAGCCUUUGUGUUUUGGAGGCCCAGCUGAAAUGAGGAAGGGAAGAAAAAGCAAAGCAAGGUAUGUGGAAUAUCAAGGACCUGUGAUGUAGGUAAGCAUGGGUGUUGGGAAGGCACAGAGCUCAAAGGACCUGCAUUGCCAUUGCCGGGAGAGUUGGGACAUACAUAUGGCAGGCAAAGUUCCCGGAUUUCAAAAGGAGGAGGAAGGGGAGGAAAAGGAAGAGGAGCCGCCUGUGGGUGUGGUGGCACACUCCUUUAAUGCCAGCACCAGGCAGGUAAGACACAGGUAAAUCUCUUUAAGUACAAAGCCAGUCUGGUAUGUCAGGAAUACAUGGUGAGACCCUGUGUCGGAAAAAAAAGAAAAGAAAAGUCAUGGGCCUGGAGACGACUCAGUGGUCAAGCAACUGGCUGCUCUUGCAGAGGACCUGGGUUCGGUUUCCAGCACCCAUAUGGGGGCUCACAACCAUCUGUAACUCCAGUUUCAGUGUACUGACAACUUCUGGCCUCUGAGGACACCAGGCAUACACAAGGUACACAGGCAUAAAUGAAGGAAAAUAAAUAAUAAAUAAAUAAAUCUUAAAAAGAAAACAAGUUCUGGAUGAUGAGAACCCUAGACAGCAAAGACAGCAUGUCAAAGGGGAAAGGGAUACCCAGAGAGCACCAUAUCUCCAGGUCAAAGGGAUGUUGAUUGCAGAGGAAGCUGCAAAUAGAAUUACUGUUUUAAUUAGGGUAAUUAAAAUCUGCUUUCAUAAGACUCAGGAGGAUUAAGUGAGAUAACACACAUUUUUUUAAUUUUUAAAUAUUUAUUUAUUUAUUUAUUUAUUUAUUUGGUAUUUCAUAGAUGUUUGUCAAUUUUGUAUGGUCUCUUUGGCAGGUCCUAAGGUAAAGCCUGGGGUGGAGAAGAGUCAAGACGACCCCUCUGAAGUAAUGUCCCACCACUUAUUGCAUCCAAGUCUCUUCCAAGGUCACUCCCCAGCAUCUUAUGCAUUCAGGGCCAGCAUGGUAUAACUUGCAAAACCAGGGAACACUCUGGUGAGCUUUAAAAAAAUAAGUGAGUCUUCCAGAGGGGCUGGAGCGAUGGCUCAGAGCUUAAGAUCCCUGACGGCUCUUCUAGAGGUCCUGAGUUCAAUUCCCAGCAACCACAUGGUGGCUCACAGCCAUCUAUGAGAUCCGGUGCCCUCUUCUGGCUUAUGGGCAGAAUACUGUAUACAUAAUAAAUAAAUAAAUCUUUAAAAGAAUUAAAAACUUAAAAAAACCCUUCCAGAGGGGUCCUGUGAAACCAUUUCAUUCCACAGCAAGGUGAGUACCUGAUGGGCCACAUGGUAAUGCAAGGAACUGCUUAGGCGAGUUGUUUUAUCAGGUCCUAUGUUGGUUAUUUUUAUUUUUUUAUUUUUGGGGUUCAAGACGGUUUCUCUGUGGCUUUGGAAGCUGUCCUGGAACUCACUUUGUAGACAAGGCUGGCCUCAAACUCACAGAGAUCCGCCUGCCUCUGCCUCCCGAUUGCUGGGAUUAAAGGCAUGUGCCACCACUGUCCAGCAUAUUUUUAGAGUUCAGGAAGGUGCUAGAAGGAGUAAAGGGAGAGCUUGACUCAUGAAUGGGAAACAGAAAAGGCUAGAGAGACUGUAUUGCUUUUCUGCUGCUGUGGUAAUACACCUUGACCAAGACAGCUUGUAGAAGGAAGGGUUUAUUUGGGCUUAUGGUUCCCUAGGGAGAAGAGCCCAUGAUGGCAGAGCAUAGUAGGAGCUGGAAGCCAAGAACUCACAUUCUGGAUCACAAACAGGAGGCAGAGAGAGUGAACCUGAAGUGGCAAGGGUCUUUUUAUACUCUCAGAGCCCUCCUCCAAGUCCACAUGCCUCAAACCUCUCCAAACAGCACCACCAACUGGGGAACAAACAUUCGAAGGUCUAAGACUGUGGUGGGAUAUCUCAUUCAGCCACCAUAGAUAACCAAAACAAAUUUCACAGAAUUCACAGUUUCAGUUUUGCUUCAACUUUUCAUGCAAAAAAUCAACCAACCAAACAAAAACAAACAAACAACCCAAAAACUUUUCAUGCAGAAGUCCAUUACCAUGUCUAGAGCUAGUCCCUAACUCAGUAGAAAAUGCAUCUGUCUCACAAGGUCCACAGGAAUGUACCCUGCUCUGGUAGAAGUGGGCAGCCUGAUGCUUAGAAUAGAAAUAAAACAACAUCACACCCUGCCUUUAAAGGGUGCUGUGGCCCAGGUAGGCUACAGGGUCGCUAUGUUGAACCAGCACAAGAAUUUCUAGAACUGGUGUUCCUAUGCAGUUGGAGUUUUUCUGUGCCCCAGAAGUUGCUCCCAAACAACCACAAGAAACUUAAUAUUAAUUAUAAAUGUUCAGCCAAUAGCUCAGGCUUAUUACUAGCUAGCUCUUAUCACUUGAAUCAACCCAUUUCUAUUAAUCUAUGUGCUACCCCAAGGCUCAUGGCUUUUCCUUCUCUUGCAUGCCCUGCUUCCUCUCCAUCUCUCUGAUGACUUCCCUGACUCUGUCCUUCUUCUUCCCAGUGUCAUUAGUCUGGUUCUCCUACCUAACCUUAUCCUGUCCAGCUAUUGGCCAGACAGCUUCUUUACUAAACCAAUCACAGUGACAUAUAUUCAUACAGUGUAAAGGGAUGUUCCACAUCCCUGGGAGAGUGGUCUUAGGAGAAUGACCUCUCCUUCACUUUCGUUGUAGACUUAAGAACGUGCUGGGUUUCUGUUCCUUGUCUCUGUCUGGCCAGUAGGUUCCAAGUUAGAGGCCCCAGAACAGAAUAAAUGGCUAAGUGACAAUCCUGUCUCCCAUCCCAUAUGAACAGUGGAGGAGGCUUUAGAAGCCUGGUUGCUCUGCCCAGUGAUAGUGUCAGCCUGUGCAACAAGGCUGUGAUUGGACACUGAGGGCCACACACAGAAACCCCUCUGAGGGCUAGUAGUCUCCAUCUGUACCAUCAGCUGUGACAUUUUUUGGACUAUCAUCUGAAUAAUCAGGCAUUUACUGUGUGGACACGUUCCCUUUUCCUGAGUCCCACCUAAGCCCCACAGUACACUAACCCCGCAGAGUUAUAUGCCAUAGUGGAGUCUAGCCCCAAGUCAAGUGGCACAUAGUCCAUAUGCUGUGACUGAAGGUGGAGGGCAGAAAGGUCUUGCCCUCAAAGAGAUGCACGCAGUGGGGUUGGGAGAUACCAGGCAUAAUGGGUGACCCCUCCUGCAAGGCAAGGGUCGUCAUCCCUCAGGUCUCUCUCUCUCCACUGCUACCCAUAGGACGCAGCACUGAGAAAGAUGCUCCAGGGGGGUCUGCUCUCCCUGGAUGCUGAGCCCAUCUGAUGCCAUGGCUCCCCUCUUAAUGUCUCAGCACAGCAUACCUUCAAGGUUGCCUGUUAUCUUCAGGAAUACCCCUGACUUUUCCUUGUCAGGAUCAAAGCCAUCCUCUUUCCAUGCCACUCUUGAUGUGGACUCCACCCACCCCAAAACAAGCAGGCCCAACCCUGCUUGUGAUCACGUUGUUUUGGCUGGAAGAGGAGCUUCCAACUUCUUCAUCAGGUAUACAUACCUACAUUUCUUUUUCCAGUCCUCUGGUGGACACAACCCUAGUUCUAGAACUUUCUGUAUUAACAAUCACCCUUACUCCAUUUCAAUAACAUAGUAAUUGAUACCCAUGCCCCAAGGGAGAAGGGAAAGGGAAAAUAAAUGAGAGACAGUGUGCAUACAAGUGUACCAUGGAGUGGUUCAGGGCUGAAGACAGCCGAAUGGAUUCAAAGAACGAAGGUGUACUAGUUCUGUCAGCUUGACAAAAUGGAGAAUCACCAGGAGGAGAGUCUUGAUGAAGGUUUGAUGGGAGAUGUCAUUCUGUAAAUAUGUUUAUUUUAUUUGUUGAUGAAUGAAACACUGUGGCCAAUAGGGCAACAAGAUAGGCAGGUCUCGGAGAUGAGGAGGAUUCUGAUGUGUAGGUAGAGAGCAGUUGCCAUGUAGGAUGCUAGAGGAGUAGCAGGUUCCUGGACCUUUCUCUGGUAAGAUAAGACCACAUAGAAAUACAUAGAUUAGUAGUUAUGGAUUAAUAAUCAAGAUAGAGCUAACCAGUAAGAAGCCCUAGCAUGGGCUAAUAGUAUUAUAAUUAAUAUAAAUCUCUGAGUGUUCAUUUGGGGCUGACAGUGGCUGUGGAUCCAGGCUGGAGGGAAAGGGCUAUCGUAACAAAGGUUGGCUUCUGGGAAUGUCUGUGAGGCAUUGUCAUGACUGUUAACUGAGGUGUGAAGACUCACCCUGGACAUGGACAGCACCAUGUCACGAGCUAGGCUGUGAAGAGUGGAGGAAGCUAGCUAUGCAGCAAGCAAGCAAGGCUGCGUUUGUCUCUCUUCGCUCUUGACCAAGGAUGCACCGUGACCAGCUGCCCCAGCUGCUGCCUUGGUUUCCCUGAAAUGAUGGCCUGUAAAAUUCGAAUUGUAAAUCAAACAAGUCCUUUCACCCCCAAGUUGCUUUUAUCAGGCUGAUUUGUCACAGUGACAGAAGUGAAACUAGAACAGAAACCAACGGGUACCAUGCUGGUCUAGGCCGCCAUGUUCUACAGAAGAGCUCUCCAUCCAUUCACACAGCAUUUCUUUCUCACAAUAUGGCAGGAAGGCAAAACACAAUAGAGGAAGGACAGCCAAAGUACUCAGGCUGAAGAACAAGGGGAUGGCAAGCUUCACACUAAAUUCCAAGCUCCUCUACCAUCUUAGUUAGGGUUUCUUUUCUGUGAAGAGACACCAUAGCCACAGCAACUCUUAUAAAAGAAAAACAUUUAAUUGGGAUGGCAUACAAUGUCAGAGGUUCAGUCCAUCAUCAUGGUGCGAUAUAGGGGCGUGUGGACUGACAUGGUGCUAGAGAGGUAGCUGAGAGUUCUACAUCUUGCACAGGCAACAGGAAGUGGUCCUAGAUACCGGAUGGUCUCUUGAACAUAUAGGAGACCUCAAAGCUCACCCCCACACAGACACACUCCCUCUAACAAGACUAGACCUACUCCAAUAAGGCCACACCUCCUAAUAGUGCCAUUCCCUUUGGUGGCCAUUUUCUUUCAAACACCUACAAAAUAAUCCCAUGCCUUGGUUGGAGGAACUGUGGCCCCAUGGGCACUUGAAACACCAGGUCAAACUGAAAUUCAUUAACUUCUCUCCACAUUUCCCUGUCUGUUUGUGUGAUGCAGCCAUCCAGGCCAAACAUCCAGUAUUAAAGCAAAAAAUGAAGGCCAGGAGUCCAAAGAUGGAUUGUGCAAGAAGACAUCCUGUUGCCAAGUGGGGUGUCUUAACUAACUAGAGUCUAGGCUCUGAGAAAUGAAGUUCCAGCAGAUGACAGGUCAUCCUGUCAUGUACUCACCAUCUCUGAAAGCAGCUUGUUGGCGGGUGUGCUGGUCUUCUCAUGUGGGGCUGGCCAGAGAGAGGGUCAGGUGUCUCUCCAGCAGCUUCUCUGGGCCUUGAAGCAGGCUUGGCAGCUUGACUCAGGGAAGGAAGUGUCAUCUGUGCAUGUGUGUGCAGGCUGGCCUAGGCUCCCGGGACAGGGCGACUGUGGCUUGGGGGAAAUUUGGAGAACAUAUUUGCAAAUGGAAAAACAAUUUCCCUGCCUUAUCUUCUCAUUGGAAACGGUUCUGACAAGCAUGAUAUCUCUUGCUUUGUGGACUAUUUUGCCCAACAUUUACCUUGAGCAAUUUCUUGGCAGUUAUUUUGUUCAUGCAAAGAAAUGCAUCUCUUCACAUUUAAGAGGUUCUAUGACUAUCUUAGGUGGAGAGGAUUUGGGAGUAUAAAACUAUUUCCCUGAGGAUCUUUAACACAGCUAUCUGAAGCCCCAAAGUACUAGGGACCUCAAGCACAAGUUGUUAUCACUCCACUGUGAAGAAAUGGGCAACAGUGCUAAGCAAAGGAUGGACUUUCUUUAAGUGACCUGGGAAACCAUGUGCAGGCUCCUUGGAUACUUGGAGAGGCAGAGAGAUCGCUGUAUUCUUGUGAGACAUUCUUCAGAGGGUCCUUGGCUCUUUCAUUCUAUACUUUUAAAAAAACUAUGGAACUGACAUAAGAACUCCCACUACAGCCUGGCUGGCAUUCUGGAUGCUGUCUCUAACGCCCCUGGUAACUGUGCAGGCUCCAUCUGCUAGCCUGACUUUGUAGACGAUGGGAGCAUGAGCUCACAAAGGUUUCCGAACCAGUUCAAGGUUACAGAAAAAUUGGCAUGUUUGUAGUUUUGAACCAAUGCCUGUUUGGCUCUGAAACCUCUUUCCACUACGACGUGUGAUUGCUGGAAAACCAGAAAGCCUUCAGAAACACCCCUAGAGUACAGUUUGAGGAAUAGCAGAGUCAGUGAGUCUGCAAUGAGCAGCCAGGAAGAAGAUCCACAGCUUAGCAUUGGACUCCCGGUGGCCCAGUCAAGUCUUCGUAAAAUCAACCAUCACAUCUUGCUGUGCCCGAAGUAUCUUCUCAACAGCCUCCAGGGACCCAUUUCUCCAGAACAUUUAAUCAAGGCCACCCACAGCCUAGAGUUGAAGAAGUCCCCAGCUGAGCGAUUUACUCACCCACAAAGCAAACAGGGAAGACACCAGCCUGGGGGUGGGGAGCUAGAUGUUGCUUCACUGGCAGCCCCUCCCCUGAGAACUGGGGAUCCAGGAGGAGGCCGAAAACAGGGAGCUCCCCCUGGAAACUCUACGCCUCAGCCCUGACAACUCUCCUCCUCCAGCUAAGCACAGAACUGAUUGGUUAGGUCAUAAAAUAAAUAAUGCUUAUUAAGCCCAAUUACCGUGGAACACAAAGCAAUUAUGAAAACCACGGAGAGAAAGAUCUACUUGCUUCUUAACUUCAGGAAUGGCAGGACACCAUGCAGAUACUCAGACUUGCAGAAUUCAUUGUUUCCUUAUCCAGCCUGCCAUGACCAUCUCCAUUCAAGGAGGGGAAGAAGGAGAAACAGAAGGGAGGAAGGGAGGGAGAUGGAGGGGGAAGGAGAAGAGGGAGACUACUGUCCAUGAGAAUGUGCCUAUCUGUAGACCUACUCAGAGGAGACUAGAGCCCCAAGGCUGCUGUCCCUCGAUCAGGCCAAAAUGUUCGAGUUAACCCCCCACCGCACCCCCCUUUCUCUGCUAGUGCUAGAGGUAAGAUGUGGAGUCCAGAGUAAGGCUGAAAUUUCACAAGCCACUUACAUUUUGGACUCUCCCCACCCCCCUUCUUUUUAAAAAGCUGGUAACCAGCAUGAAAGACAUUGUGGUUGGUAUCCUCAUAACUAAAAUAUAGCUUCAUUUCUGCUCAUGGAAAUAUGUAGUCAAUUAGCUAUAAUGUGGUCCAGACUCCCUUUGAUAUUCUAAAAUAAAAACAUUCCAAGUUA